rnacentral:tRNA from 1 species
AAAGUUAUAGCUCAGUGGUAGAGUGCAUGCCUCACAUACAUGAGGUCCUGGGUUCAAUCCCCAGUAUCUCCA